rnacentral:rRNA from 1 species
AGUAAUCGUGGAUCAGAAUGCCACGGUGAAUACGUUCCCGGGCCUUGUACACACCGCCCGUCACACCAUGGGAGUGAGUUGCAAAAGAAGUAGGUAGCUUAACCUUCGGGAGGGCGCUUACCACUUUGUGAUUCAUGACUGGGGUGAAGUCGUAACAAGGUAACCGUAGGGGAACCUGCGGUUGGAUCACCUCCUUACCUUAAAGAAGC